rnacentral:tRNA from 3 species
GGAGAGGUGGCCGAGUGGUUUAAGGCGAUGGUCUUGAAAACCAUUGUACGGUCCUCCGUACCGCAGGUUCGAAUCCUGUCCUCUCCG